CGGCAGGCGCCGCGCUGCCCGUGAUGGCUGCCGAGGUGAGGCCGCCGCGGCCGGCCCGGCACGGCCGGGUUCCCCCGGGGCGGAGCAGCGCGGCCCCGGCCCGCGGCAGCGGCACUGGCAGCAGUAUCAUUUCAGAACUCACUUGAUUCAGUAUGGCUUUGAUUAGCCGAAAAAGCUUCCAGUUGUAUUCAACCAGCACACCAGCAAGCAGAUCUGCUUUGAUGACCCUAAGCAAAAGGUUGAACUUCAUCAGUGGGCAGCGAAAGCCCCAGAGCUCUAGCUCCGUGGCCAUGAGGAUGCUGUGUGUCAAAGAUAAAUCUCAGUAUACGUUUUGUAGGAAAAAACAUGUACAACUGCAGAUGCAGUCCCUUUCUGUUAAUGAAGCUGUGCAUCUUUGUGGAGAUACGAGGAACUGUACUAAAUCAAAUAAUGUGUGGAUGGAUGAACAAUUAUUUUUCAAGAAGUUGAACAACCUUGGUACAUCAAAAGAGAUUUUUUGUUUUCUUAGCUCUCUAGAAGUCAUGUCUGAUACAAUGGCCUCGGGAGCCCUGCAGAAGAUUUCUGAAGUUGAGGUGGAUGACAAUGGUCUUAAAAACCCUGGGCUGUUAGAGAAUGAAGUUUUCAGGGCAUUAUGCUUCCAGUUUGAAUUUGAAUCCUCAAAACUGUCAAACACUGGGCUGCUGAAUGCCUUGCAGGCUUUGACAAAGCUACGCAUAGAUCCGCAGAGCACGCUGAUGACAAGCCUGCUUUCGGAGAGCGAGCAGCGGCUUGGCAGGGGACAGCUGACAGCUGAAAAUCUGUGUGCUCUCGGAGAGAGUUUGCUGGAGUUAGAAGGCCCAAGUUGUGCGACGCUGGAACAAAUUGUGAACCGCAUGCAAGAAAGAGACAUUAGGAGUUGGAGUCCCAGGGAAAUAGUGAUGGUUUAUCAGAUACUGCAAGUGACUGUAAGGGAAGGGAAACAAUGCCAAAGCUUGCUAAACAAACUGAACAGUGUCACUUUAUGUGCAGUUUCCCGGCUGAGCCCAAACUUUGUAAGUGUAAUACUGAAUUCACUGGUGGUUCUUCAUCAGACUCGGGCAGUUCUCUUAGUCACUGCACUGUGUAAACAUUCAGUGCAGCAUGUUCCCUAUUUUACAGAUCAUGAACUGAUAAAUGUACUGGAAGCUUUCCUAUACUUUGGUCAAAAAAUGCAAAUUUUUACAGAGGCACUGGAAAGACAUGUCCCCAACUCCAUCCACACUUUGCAUCCUCAAACUGUCAGCAAGGUCAUGCAGUAUUGCUGCAAAAAGUUGAUCCUUUCAAAACCCAUCUUUGAUGCAGUGGCAGAAAGUUUCAUUUCCAGUGCUGACAGACUUACCACUGACCAGAUUGCUGCAUAUAUUAUCCCGUUUGGGACUCUUAACUACCUCCCUCCAAGUGCUUCUUCCUUGUUUAGGAAGCUUGAAACUGUGCUGCAUACCCGCCUGAGGCAAUUUCAGCCUCACACCUUGCUGAACCUGCUACACUCAUGUGUCCUUAUUCAACGUUACCCGAUAAAUUUCCUGCCAAAAAUAUUUAGUCCCUAUUUUCUGCAAAAGCUUCAAGCUCAGCCACCUGGUUUGAACAGAGUUGUUACAUCCCAGCUAACCCAGCUUUUUCUGACUGUCACCCUGGAGUGCCCAUUUUAUGAGGGUCCGAAACUCCUUUCUAAGUACCAAGUAAAGGCCUUUCACACACCUCAGAGUUCUCCUGAUGUUCACCUCUUUAAAAGGGUGAAGACAGGAUUACUUUAUUUACUGAAAAAAAGAAUAUAUUUUGCAUCAGAGGUAUCAACACCAUUUUUCUAUGUAGUUGAUAUUGAGAUUAAAUUAGAUGAAGAAGGUUUUGUAUUGCCUGCUGCCCAACUUGAAGAGGUACACAGACGAAUUGCCCUGUGUGUUGAUGGUCAGAAUAGAUUUUGUGCUCAUAGCCACAAUCUGUUGGGAGAAGAAGCUAUUAAACAGAGACAUCUUCAGUUACUUGGUUAUGAAGUUGUGCAGAUUCCAUUUUUUGAGGUAGAAAGUCUACAAAAUACCAGAAAAAUAGCAGAUUAUCUACACAAAAAAAUCUUUCCUUGUACAAAUGGACUCAGCAACUGACACUGGAGAAUACUACUGGAUAACAGGCUGACCUUCUGUACUACAAAGUGUAAAUUCUGUGCAUGGAAGAAAAACUAUUUUUUCUAAGUAACUCCACCUCAGAAAAUCAAGCAAGAAGUUGAAGGAGAGCUGAAAUGGCUUUGCAAACAUUAAUAAGGAACUUACCACUAAUACAGAAGAAAUUGUCAGGGUGUUCUUCUGAGAACUGAGCACUGAAGGAAGAAGUGAACCAUUCACAACUGAAUGGGAAACAAGUAAUGGGAAGAACAACAUGUGAAAGACCUUCUAAAGUGUCUCACUGUAUUUACAAAUGACACAGAUUUCCUGUGUCUAAAUACCUGACAAAACCAGUGUCAGUCACAGCUGUGGACCUCCAGUCCUUUUUGUGUUAUGAUCACUCUGGCUGUUCCUUUCUGAGCAAUACUGCCUCAGCCUUAAACAACAACAGGAUCAAUGGCUCUUGAGAACCAAACUCUGCAGGAAAAACUCCUCCUGAAAUUACCUUAAAAUUUUAGUAGUGGAUUCUGUGAAAGUUCAAGGCAUCAAACAUUUCAUCAGAUUUAGACAUUUGUGCUAAACAUGCUUUUUAAAUGGCUACUGCUCAAAACCUUAUUUUUUUUCCACCCUUUCUACCAAAUUAUUUAGUGCUUUUUCUGCUAGUAUUACUUAGUCUUUUUUCCCAUUUCUUUCAGAUUCUAUACAGAACCAAUGAUGGUUUUUCUUGUUAAGUCAGUCAGAUGCCAUAACUGGAGUGGGUCAGUGAAAUGAAUGUCUGAAUUCAGCUAAAUCCAGAUUUUUGUCUCUUCAAAUGCCAAGUGCUCACAAGUUCCUUUUAACUCGAGUUCCACUUGAAGUCUAGUGAAACUGCUAAGCACAUAAACCCAUACAUUUUUGAAAAUUCUGAGCCGAAUAUCCAUUUCAGCUGUUGCAUACAUUAAAAAAAAGUCUCACAAUUCUCUAGCAACUCUGUAAGGAUUGAAAAAUCUGUGAUUACUGAUACCUUGAGGGACAAGUUUGUUUAAAAUGUUAGGUCUGUGAAUGGUUAUGUAGACGCAGUGCCCAGAAUUGCAGACACAGCUUUUGA